CAUAAGUCACGUCAGAGGAUGAGGGUUUCCCAGGGCAUGGGUCAAGCUGCUCUCAGCCUCUAAAGCCUCACCGUUACAUCGAUACUGGAGAUUGGACCAAAUGAUGUUUUCUUGGGAGAAGCAGAAUACACCGAGGCGCCCCCCUCGCAUGGACGUAUCAAUGAUCACCCCAGAAUCCGCCACUAGCUGGGGACCCUCAUAGAGCUUCACCCUGUCCAGGAUAGAGGUGUCGUUGGUGGGCCUGGUGCCACCAUGUCCUGGGGUUUCGUGCGCUCCCCCCACCCUGUGCACACUAGUCCUGAGGGAGGGGAGGGAGGCCGAGGGGAGGGAGGGGUGCUUUUUCUCAGGCCUUGGGCCCCUAGCUCUUUGUCUGGCCCCUUUUGCAUCUCAAAGCACCAGCACAUUCCUAGCAAGGAUUGGGUUGCUAUGACAAUGAGCACAAAGGCUGGGGUGAAGUCACCCGCUUCCCAGGCUCCAGUCCACACCCCCCCUUUAUCCUCUGCCCUGGCGCCCCACCGCUCUAGCUACCUUAAAGAGAAACCAACUCAGCCCCCAGGCUCUUGGCCACAGGAAGUCCAGCUCCUAGGCAGAUCCCUGUCCCUUCCCUUCUCAGGCCAUUCUCACCAACUAGGGACACUUGUAGGAGGGGAAGAUCAGGGUUGGGAACAAAAUGCCAAACUGAGAGGCCGGUAAACUGCGGGCCUCAGUCUGCUCUUCUGUAAGCCAUGGUCUCUUUCCAAAGUCAGCUGCUGCUGGAGCAAGUUCUGCACGCCUAAGGGGCUGGAAGCCCUGAGCUCUUCCACAGACUGCCUGGGGCCUAGAAGCUCCCAGAGAACCGAAAGGCAUCUGGCCCAACACCUGGACUUAGAGGGGAAAUUGGGUGCAAAGGAACGGUGUGCCCAACACCACCUCCUCUGUGCUGAGAUGGGAAAUGGAAGGAACUGUCUGCAAACCCCCGUGGCACCAAGACAUUCAGUAGAGGGAAGGUCACAGUGACUGAGUCCCUCCCUGCUAGCGAGAGGGCAGAGGAGGUUGGGUCUCGCCCCACCCCCUCCCCCAGGGCUCAAACCCUUUCCAUACCGAAUGUAGCCAACUUGGGGCCGGUGGAGUAGCUGCCAUCUAUAAGAUGUCUUGUCACGCCAACCCACAUUUCUUGGAUCAGUCCACAGCAGUCGUACCUGAUCAGGGGUGUGGCCGGUGUGCCACAGAGCAUUUCGGAGGUGCUCACCUGGGCCAGAUAUUGAUGUCACUGCCUGGGAGUUAUUGACAAAGUCAGUGUGUCAACCACAGGACCAGGGUGAGGAGAGACAAAAGAUGAAGAGCUGGUGAGAAAGGGAGUCAAAGGGAUCCAGAGAAUUCUCUGGAAUCCCACACAGCUGAUGUCCAGACACCAUGUCUGGAAGCGGCCACUGUCCUGGUAACUGAAGAGGAAACCUGCGUAGUCAUCAUCAGUGACAGUGUUCACGUGGAAAGUGCCUUCAAAGUCCACACCAUUGAAGGCUGUGUAUCCUGGGGCGGCAGCGGGAUAAACGUUAGGGCCAUUUAAAGCUACUUGGUCGCCCAUGGUGGGGGUUGGGUACCAGACGACAGUUAUCAGGCCCAGGAGGCACAUAGUCUGGGACACCGUCAUUGUCAUCAUCCCCGUCACAUUCAUCUCCAAGUCCAUCGUUGUCUGAGUCCAACUGGGAGCUAUUUGGCAGCUGGGGACAGUUGUCCUUGGUGUCCUGAUGCCCGUCCCCAUCACUGCUCAGAAGAAAAGGCAACAAAUACCAGCUGAAAAUGUA